rnacentral:tRNA from 1 species
GGACUGGUAGCUCAGUCGGUAGAGCAACGGCCUUUUAAGCCGAUGGUCCUGGGUUCGAGUCCCAGCCGGUCCACCA